rnacentral:rRNA from 1 species
UACGUAGGGUGCGAGCGUUAAUCGGAAUUACUGGGCGUAAAGUGUGCGUAGGCGGGUCUUUAAGUCAGGGGUGAAAUCCUGGAGCUCAACUCCAGAACUGCCUUUGAUACUGAAGAUCUUGAGUUCGGGAGAGGUGAGUGGAACUGCGAGUGUAGAGGUGAAAUUCGUAGAUAUUCGCAAGAACACCAGUGGCGAAGGCGGCUCACUGGCCCGGUACUGACGCUGAGGUGCGAAAGCGUGGGGAGCAAACAGG